CGUCUAUAUACGUAUAGCAUAUCAAUAAGCGGAGGAAAAGAAACUAACUAGGAUUCCCUCAGUAACGGCGAGUGAAGCGGGAAGAGCUCAAAUUUGAAAUCUUCAAGGUUCUACCUUGACGAAUUGUAGUUUAAAGAAGUGUUUUCUGUUGGAGUUUUGGUAAAAGUUCUUUGGAAUAGGACAUCAUAGAGGGUGAGAAUCCCGUAUUUGACCAUUAUUUCCAACUUUGUGAUACACUUUCAAAGAGUCGGAUUGUUUGGGAAUGCAGUCCAAAAUGGGUGGUAAAUUUCAUCUAAAGCUAAAUAUUGGCGAGAGACCGAUAGCGAACAAGUACCGUGAGGGAAAGAUGAAAAGAACUUUGAAAAGAGAGUUAAACAGUACGUGAAAUUGUCAAAAGGGAAGCGUUUGACACCAGUGUUGUUUUCUCGAAAAUCAAUUAAAAAGAUGUGGAUUUUGUAUUGUUAUGACCUUUAUCAGCUUACUGUACUUUUUUCUUACUCUUUUUAAUGCACUUUUCGUUUAACAAGUCAACAUCAAUUUCUUUUGUUGUAAAAGGGUCAUUGGAAGGUGGCUUUCUUUUCGGAGAAAGUGUUUAUAGCCUUUGGCCUCUGCAAUCGGAGAGAUUGAGGUCUGCAGCGUAGAUCCUUCGGGGUUAGAUACAUUUGUGCUAAGCUAUAGCCUUUCAUAGACAACUUGUUGACUAUGAUCAGUCAUGUAGCUUACUCGCUUGUGCUAUUUUACCUACGCUUAGGAUGUUGACGAUCAGCUGAGCGCG
rnacentral:rRNA from 1 species